AUGUCUUCUUCAAGGUCCCGCGCCACUUCGCCGAUGCAGAGCCCGGCGCGCGUGGAGAUGCCGAUCUUCGUCUGUGCGCGGUGUCGGGCGGGCGUUGAUCGGAGGGUUUCUCACACUCCGAAGAACCAUAAUCGUCCGUUCUACAUGUGCGGUGAGAAUGGGGUGAAAUGUUUCUUUCUUUGGGUUGAUGUUCUGGCCAAGACUCUGAUGAAUGAACUGCAAGAAGAGCAUGAAGAAUAGUUGCCCCUGCCUCGAACGGCAGUGGCCGCAUCACGAGCUCCAGAAGAAGAGACGGAGGGCGAAGCAUGCAAUUACAGAGAGCUAGCUGUUGAGCUUAGGAUGUUGAAGAAGAAGGUUAGGAAGAUUGAAGAUCAAGCAGAAAUACCCAUUUGCAAUUACUUUUGGGCAUUUGUUGGUAUGGUAAUCACACUGGGUGUAAUGUUGGAAUUGUAUGGAAAGGCAUGA
rnacentral:rRNA from 1 species